AAGACUUUGCCUCUGAUCACCAUCAAAGAUGCCCUGAUUGUGAAGUAACUUGUCUCAAGUCCUUGGAAUCGUAGUUGCAGUGCUUCUUCCAAUCCAUCCUGCCACUCAUAGGACAAAUAGCAGGAUUUCGUUAUCUACCACAUGAACGAUAACAGCAAUGCCAUUGAACAAGAUGCGAAGCUCUGGCUAAGACUUCUAGAACAGAGUUGAAUGGAAACAGUAAUGGUGGUAUCCUUGUCAUGUUCCUGACUUUAAACAGAAUGUUUCUAAUGUUUCAUUACGUAUGAUAUUUGUGGUAACUUUUUGAUAAAUACUCUUUAUCACUUGAAGAAAUUUUCCUUCUGUUCCUAAUUGCUAAAAUUAGGUUAUUUUCAUUAUUGAAAAUCAUAAAUUUUAUUG